AACGAACGCUGGCGGCAUGCCUAACACAUGCAAGUCGAACGAAGGCUUCGGCCUUAGUGGCGCACGGGUGCGUAACGCGUGGGAAUCUGCCCUUAGGUUCGGAAUAACAGUUAGAAAUGACUGCUAAUACCGGAUGAUGACGUAAGUCCAAAGAUUUAUCGCCUGAGGAUGAGCCCGCGUAGGAUUAGCUAGUUGGUGUGGUAAAGGCGCACCAAGGCGACGAUCCUCAGCUGGUCUGAGAGGAUGAUCAGCCACACUGGGACUGAGACACGGCCCAGACUCCUACGGGAGGCAGCAGUGGGGAAUAUUGGACAAUGGGCGCAAGCCUGAUCCAGCAAUGCCGCGUGAGUGAUGAAGGCCUUAGGGUUGUAAAGCUCUUUUACCCGUGAUGAUAAUGACAGCAGCGGGAGAAUAAGCCCCGGCUAACUCCGUG
rnacentral:rRNA from 1 species